AUACUGCAAGUCGAGCGGACAGAAUGGGAGCUUGCUCCCUGAUGUUAGCGGCGGACGGGUGAGUAACACGUGGGUAACCUGCCUGUAAGACUGGGAUAACUCCGGGAAACCGGGGCUAAUACCGGAUGGUUGUUUGAACCGCAUGGUUCAAACAUAAAAGGUGGCUUCGGCUACCACUUACAGAUGGACCCGCGGCGCAUUAGCUAGUUGGUGAGGUAACGGCUCACCAAGGCAACGAUGCGUAGCCGACCUGAGAGGGUGAUCGGCCACACUGGGACUGAGACACGGCCCAGACUCCUACGGGAGGCAGCAGUAGGGAAUCUUCCGCAAUGGACGAAAGUCUGACGGAGCAACGCCGCGUGAGUGAUGAAGGUUUUCGGAUCGUAAAGCUCUGUUGUUAGGGAAGAACAAGUACCGUUCGAAUAGGGCGGUACCUUGACGGUACCUAACCAGAAAGCCACGGCUAACUACGUGCCAGCAGCCGCGGUAAUACGUAGGUGGCAAGCGUUGUCCGGAAUUAUUGGGCGUAAAGGGCUCGCAGGCGGUUUCUUAAGUCUGAUGUGAAAGCCCCCGGCUCAACCGGGGAGGGUCAUUGGAAACUGGGGAACUUGAGUGCAGAAGAGGAGAGUGGAAUUCCACGUGUAGCGGUGAAAUGCGUAGAGAUGUGGAGGAACACCAGUGGCGAAGGCGACUCUCUGGUCUGUAACUGACGCUGAGGAGCGAAAGCGUGGGGAGCGAACAGGAUUAAAUACCCUGGUAGUCCACGCCGUAAACGAUGAGUGCUAAGUGUAGUAUUU
rnacentral:rRNA from 1 species